rnacentral:rRNA from 1 species
UAAUGUUUGAUGUUCUAACGUGGACCCGUGAUCCGGGUUGCGGACAGUGUCUGGUGGGUAGUUUGACUGGGGCGGUCUCCUCCUAAAGAGUAACGGAGGAGCACGAAGGUUGGCUAAUCCUGGUCGGACAUCAGGAGGUUAGUGCAAUGGCAUAAGCCAGCUUGACUGCGAGCGUGACGGCGCGAGCAGGUGCGAAAGCAGGUCAUAGUGAUCCGGUGGUUCUGAAUGGAAGGGCCAUCGCUCAACGGAUAAAAGGUACUCCGGGGAUAACAGGCUGAUACCGCCCAAGAGUUCAUAUCGACGGCGGUGUUUGGCACCUCGAUGUCGGCUCAUCACAUCCUGGGGCUGAAGUAGGUCCCAAGGGUAUGGCUGUUCGCCAUUUAAAGUGGUACGCGAGCUGGGUUUAGAACGUCGUGAGACAGUUCGGUCCCUAUCUGCCGUGGGCGCUGGAGAACUGAGGGGGGCUGCUCCUAGUACGAGAGGACCGGAGUGGACGCAUCACUGGUGUUCGGGUUGUCAUGCCAAUGGCACUGCCCGGUAGCUAAAUGCGGAAGAGAUAAGUGCUGAAAGCAUCUAAGCACGAAACUUGCCCCGAGAUGAGUUCUCCCUGACUCCUUGAG